rnacentral:lncRNA from 1 species
UUUUAUUCAAAAGAAAAUUCUUUUUAACAAAAAGGCAAAUCAACGUGCUAGUGCUCUUAUGUGUAUAUAUAUACUGCUCGUUUAUAUAUAUACUCUAUAAUAACAGUUUUUGGGCGAAGAAAAUAUAUUUUGGCGCCAUUUGAGCAUAAAAUUAAUAUUAAUUAAUUAUUCGUAUCAAAUUAUUCAAGUUUGGGUUCUAGUAGCAUUAUUUUGAAGCUUCGCGGAAAGAUUUUUUUAGCUUUGAUGUCCAGGUAAGUUAGGUUUAUCCUACUUUUAUAUUGAGCUUAUAUAUUGAAAUUGUAAACUAUUAUACUAGCUUUGAAUAAAUACUUAUAGUUGCGUAUCAUUUGAUGGCAAAAGAAGAAGCUUCAUUUUCCGAGUAAGUAUAUAGGCAGGGCCCAGAGCCCCCGACCAUGAACUAAUAUGUGAUAGUUAAAUAUUACUCUAGAAAAAUACAUUGCAUGAGAUUGUAACUUCAUAUCUCUUCUAACUCCAUCUACGUCACCUAAAAGUUUCUUCCUUUCAUAAAUAGCUCUAUUAUUAGUGUAGUUACUUUGAUAUCCAUCCUUACGAGAAAUUAUCUCCAUUACUGAUGGGCAUGCAGUUCUUCCCUUUCCCCAUUUACAGGUAUAAAAACAAUGUCUCGAUCAGCAUACAUUGGAUAUUCUAGAUUUCUGAGCAUAAGGAUUAAUAUAUUGAUCUAGAAUUUUGAUUUAAUGCCCAUCUCAAGCUCCAUUUUAUUGAAAAAUUUCACAUGCAAUUUAUUUUUUCUUUUGUUCCUUCAUCAAGUUUCAUUAAAUUCAAAAGUUUCCUCGAUUAAUGCUGCUGCAUAAAAGUUAACAAUGAGAAAACCACAACAUGUAUGUCAAACUAAUGAUCGAACACUCUCUUUUGUUGGAUUGUAGUUUUUUCUUUAUCUAUUUUCGAGAGAAAAAAUAAAUAAAUAAAAACAUAAUUAUCACUUCUCCUAAAAUUCUAUGUUCACGAGUUUUUGCAUCUAUUCCAUAAUCAUAGCAAUCAAAUAUUUCCUCUUGCUUUCUCUAAUUAAUUCAACCCAUUCUUGCUAAUAUUAUUGUUAUUACUAAACUGAAAGAAGAUACAACCUUCCACUGGCCAAAUAACUAAAUUAAUAGAAGGACAAAGCCAAAUAAUUUUUUUUCAUGAAAAUAGUAGCUAGAAAGGAAAGGUCAAAUGAAAUAUCCACGAAGAUGUUAGUAAAGUUCUCCUUAAAAUAUGUCCUUUGCAAAAUACAUAAAAUCAAACUUAUACAAAUCAUCACUUACAGUACAGUUGCAAUAAUCAUUAUAUUUGUUGCCUUGAAUCUUGUAGUGUCCCUUGUUCAUUUUGUGAAAGCGGACAGACUAGGGUUGGAAAGAAUUCCGUCAAAAGACUAUAAUCAAAUUCAUUAAUAUGUAAACAGUUGCUUAUGUUAUCCUUUGGAUUGUAUAUCAUGAUUUUAUCGUGAAACAUAAGCAGAAAUUCACCUCUUUUUUACAGAAAAAAAGAGUGAGAAAAUAAAUAAUCCACGGAAUAUAGAGAAUAAUUGAUAGUAAAAAUCUUUCUCCAAGAUACUUUAUUCUCACACUGCAUAAUCCACACAUCCACGUGAGUAGUCGAAUUAUUAUAAAUCAUAGAUAGAUUACUUUCCAACACUCCCAACACGAGAAAUUUAUCCUCUUCUGCAUAAUAAGGUCGCUCUAUCUUUCUCCAUUUUUCAUUACUAAAAUCAAAAGAGGUUAUGCUCCAACCACUUUUUAUAUCAAUACUAGUAGCCUAAUAAAGCUUUUCAUUCACAAACUUACCUGAGCCAAUUAACCGCGUCACUCUCCUAGAACAAUGUAUCAUUCUCCAAGAAUCAUCCUUUAGGCUAUAGAUAUUGAUCUCUUGAAAGUUACAUGGAUAGCAAGUAACAGACAGACUGCCUUAUAAUCAUCACAAAUAUCAUCAUAUCCAAAACCAUAUGUGCAAUGACCAUCAUCCUUCAAUUUAGUUCUAAAAUCAGGCAACUUCUUAUACUUUCUUAAUGCUGGGUUCCCUAAAAAUAAUUCUUUUGCCUCAUUGACAUGACAAAUCAAUCCAUUGACAGAACCCUUAAUCACACAAAAUAUACCAGAGUUUUUCAUGUGAUAAUCCAAGUUAGUUUCCUCCAUAAUAGGACAUUCUUUAAGGUUGAAUUCUGGUUGGGCUAUACUCCACAUAACACUAUGGUUAGUGUAGUCUUUGUUAUUAUUAGGUGAUAAACUUAGAUGAUAUUUGGUAAACUCCAAGAUUUUAAAACAGACUUGAAUCGCAAGAGAGAUUUAACUGAAAGCCUUGAGAGAAUUUCAGUAACGAUUUCAGUUGGCCAAUAAAGGUUUGUGGGGUUGCUUUGAUUUGGGUGUUGAUGGGAGGCUUCACCAGAUACCAGUAAAUGUUGGAGCCGAUAAAGAGAGAAAGAGAGAAAGAAAGAAAGAAAGAAAGAAAGAAAGAAAGAAAGAAAGAGAGGAAUGAACUGAAGACGAAGUUUCUUUUGCUAGAAUUUAUAACUUGAUCUCACAUCACUAGAUUAAGUGAAGUGUUAUUCUAAAUCUCACAUCUCACUCAGUUAUGUCAAUUUAUGAUUAGAUUAUGGUGAAUUAAUUAAGGAAGGAAUCAAGUUGAAUGAACAAUUAUGAUUAGAUUAUGAUGAAUUAAUUAAGGAUGGAAUCAAGUUGAAUGAGCUAUUCCAUGAUCAAAUGUUCAAAUCUUAACAGAGGUCAACAAACUUUCAAUUAGCUAUCACUUCGUGAAAAUUUCAAAGAACCAUAAAAAACGAACUCUUCCACAUUUUCUACAUGCUAGUUUAAUCGCACGUGUCUUGCAUCUGUAACGUUUGAUUAUUUAAAAUUUAAUAACUUUAUUGAUGGAAGAGAUUUUCAACGAUGAAGUGCAAAAAGAUCAAAUCACUUUUAAAAAAAAAUUCUUCACACUUUAAUUUAAUAACGUAAAUAUAAACAUAUACUUUUAAAACAUAUAUUCUUCACAUUUUAACUAUAAUAUAUACGUGCUUACACUAAAAUGCAUGUUUAUGUUUACACUAUUAUAUUAAAGUGUGAAAGAUAUUUGAAAAGUGAUUUGAAUUUUUUGUACUUCAUUACAUAUCUCCGCAAUAAAUAAGACAAUUUAAUUUUAAAUAAUCAAAGGUUACACAUGCAAGACAUGUGCGGUUAAACUAGUUUAACUAAAAUCACUAAAAUACUGUACUUCACUUCAGAUUAUUAUUCCAUAAUGUGAUUUAAUGAAUGGAUUAUGGAGAAGUAAUUAAGGAUGUAAACAAUGAAUUUAAAAUAGCUUCAGCGUUUUCAAAAUUAGUCUUACAAAGAGAAAUGGUCAACAAUGAUAUAAACUCAUUCCUAUCUUAAUUAUUCGUUCCAUUUUAAAAUAGUUGUCAUGUUUUACUUUUUGAAAGUCAAGUUGACUAAUUUUCAAGAGAUAAGGCACAAAUAUCCCUCCCCUCCCCCCCCUCCAAAAAAAAACUAUAUUCGAAAUCCUAACGACACAGCUAAACUUUACAGGGGUCCAAUUACCCCCCUAAACUCAUAUAAUUGUAUUUUUAUACUCGUUUUGUGCUCAUGUGGCUGUCAAGAUAAACACAAAAUGAACAUAAAAUAUUUUGCUACUUAGCAGCCACGUCAGCACAAAAGGAGUAAAAUAUAAUAGAAAAAUGAGCUUAGGGUGCAGUAGGACCUCGUAAAGUUUAGGUAUGUCACUAGAAUUUCGGGUAUAGUUUGGAAGAUAUAUACUUGUGCCUUAUUCCAAUUUUCAAAGCUAAAUCAUUUUAUAUUAACACAAAAUUUUAAAAUUAAAUUUAGAUAUUCAAAAAUUAUAUGAGAAGUACUAUAAAUUGCAUUUUUUCUCAUAUCAAUAUGAUGAAAAGUAUAUCUUAAAACAAUGAUAAAAAUUAUACCAUCUGACUCUCAAAACGAAAACUGCCACAAGUAAAAAGAAAUGGUGAAAAGAUUACUAUAUGCUACUCAUAAUAUCACUCUUCACAAAGAUUUCAUAGAAACAUUAAAUAAGACCUACUAUUCAUAUUUUAUAAUAAUUGUAAAUUAUGUAUAAUAUGUUGUUAAAUAAUUAUUAAGUCAUGCCAUUCUUACAUCUACUUAUGAUAUAUAGAUCAUGGUAAAUCGGCCAUUAAGCCUCUUCAAGUUUUCAAUUAGCAAAAUGACCUACUUCUAUUUUCUCAUAUGCCGAAUUGAUAAUCAAUCUAUCCAUAUAUAGGUCGGAUUGAUAAUUGAUCUUUCGGACUGAUAAUCGAUCUAUCCAUAUAUAGGUCAGAUUGAUAAUCGAUCUGUUUAUAUAUCGGUCGAAUAAAUAAUAGAUCGGUCUAAAAAAUGGGUCAUUUCUCUGGAAAAAAAAACUUGUAGUUUAUUUAAUUAAAAAGAAAACUUCAAAAGACCAUUUAACAAAAGAUCUCGUGCUAUGUCUACUUAAGUGUUUCGUUGUUAAAUGAAAUUUAUUCCUUUUAGUCUUCAGUUACUAUUUCCUACUCAUUGUUUGGUAUAUUCAUACCAAAAUUUAUUUUUUCACGUUUGAAAGUUGGAUUUCAAAUUUGAAAAUUAGUUUAUAACCUAUUUUCUGAUUACAUCUUCAUAAUUUCAAAUAAAAUGCUCUCCUCUCCUUUGCAAAAAGGUAUAACCAAACACAACUCCAACUUCACAAAUUAUAAUCUAAGUGAAAAAUAUUUAAUUUUUAUGGCUAAACGCCUACUUAGAAUGAUAACAUGGUACUCGAUACUUAAAUAAGUAAUAAAAAAUAGUGUCAUUGUGACUGUUACAUUCUUUCGAAAAAGUUUAGUCUUUAGAAAAUAAUGGUUUUUGAAAGAUCUUUUAUUGAAGUUAUGAAUUAGUUAUUCUGUAUUAAAAUAAAACUAAAAAGGAUAAAUUUGUAACAUCUUGAUUGAUUUAGCAGAGUGUGGGCAAACUUCACUAAUCAUUAAUUUAACACGUGUGCCUACGUGGACCUUCAGUGUGUUGAUUUACUGAUGUGCCACGUAGACAUUAAGGUUGUCAAAAAUAUAAUUUUAAUUAGUCCAGGGGGUAAUGGGAUACUUCUAAAGUACGGGAGUGUCUCAACAAUUUCGUAUAUAGUUCAGGGUGGAAAUAGAACAUUUUUCCCCAAAAAAUUAAAAACCCAUCGUGAAUGGGUCUCAAUCCCAAAACCGCGAGGCCCUUUGUGUGAAAGUUUACACCCCUUUUUCCACUGAACCAAGUUUUUUGCUUGUGUCAAGGGGGUUCAAUUUAUAAAUAUAUAUACACAAAGAAAAAAGAAUAUUUAUAUAUAUAUAUAUAUAUAUAUAUAUAUAUAUAUAUAUAUUAAAUUUUUUAAACAAAUAGGUUGAAUGAAAAAAACCAUUUAAGUUAAUAAAGAACAAAAGAUAAUCUUGAUCGUAUAAAUUAAUUUAGUACAAAAUUAAUAUCAAUUUAAAUAUAUGUACUUAAAGUUAGUAUGGACAAGAAUCUCGAGCGUAUAAAUUAAUAUGGUACAAAAAAAAUCAAUUAAAAUAUGAACACAUUAAGUUAAUAAAGUACAGAAAAAAUCACAUAUAUAUAUAUAUAUAUAUAUAUAUAUAUAUUAUGAAAAUAAAAUAACUUUAAACAUAAUACUCUUAAUUAAAGGUUGACUGAACGAAUUAAGUAAUAAGAAAAUAAAAAUAAUCUAAAUUUUUAAGGGCAAGAUAAAACAUAUCAAUCAUAAUAUAUAGAUCAAUCACGUAUAAGAUAAAUACAAGAAAAUAAGAAAGCAAGAAAGAACUUUUUUUUACUUGAAGUAAGUGAGGAUAGUACUAAAAUCAGUUCUUUGUUAUUUUACCCCUAAAUGUCUAUUUUUGUUUGCAAUUUGCAUCCUAUUCUUUUAGUGAUUCCUAAUAUAUUCAAUUCCUUGCAACUUAUGAAGAAAGCAAAAAAUAAAGAAAGUAUUGGAGUUGGUUGAAAAGAAAGUAAUUUAUAUACUAUAUCUCACUUCAAAAUACCACCCAAAAAAAAAAAAAUAAUUCACAUUUGGAAAGAAAAUUAUAUGUUAUUAUCUUUUUCAGAAUAAGUUAAUAAUUUUAUUCACCGAAAGUCUAUUUUUUUUACACUGCUAGAUUUUAAAUGUCAAUUAUUUUUAAAUGCCUUAGAAAUAAAGCAAACAUUCAAUAUAAAUUAAUAGGUCAAAUUACACUAUCAUUACAAAAAUCACCUAUAUAGGCUAAAUCCUACAAUAAAUAAAUAUGUACAAAUUCUUUACACGAUUAGUUAAAUUAUUCAUUGAUAUAUCUUGUUAAAAGCAGGUUAAUAAGAAAAACUUAAAAUUUAUAAAUAUUCUUUAAAUGAUCUGAUAGUAAAAAAAAAGACUUUUUAUACUAAUAAUGUAUAUAACUUAAUGUAAGUGUUGUUUGUCAUUUCAAUAGUUAAUCACUUCGAGGAGAAAGUGAAAUUACUAAUUAAUCUUCUGACCCUAGGAUUUUGGUUACGCACCGGAUUAUAUAUAUACACACACAUAAUAUUAAUUUCCCUUUUUGGACAAAAUGAUGACGUUCUCGUGAUUUCGCUCACUUUUCUGCUACUUAUUAAUUAGGGGAGUAGUGUUACUCUUUAUUUCUAAGCUUUCACACAAUUGAUUUUUAGCAUCUGUUGGUUUUGUUAUCUCUUAAACUACGUCAUUCCAUCUAUGAAAUCAAUCCAUUGACAGAACCUCAAUCAAACAAGCUAUACCGGAGUUUUUCAUGUGAUAAUCCAAGUUAGUUUCCUCCAUAGUAGGACAUUCCUUAAGGUUGAAUUCUGG